GGCAUGCUUCCAGUGGGUCGUGGAACCCUAGACCCCUUUCCCCAAUCCCACGACCGCCUCCAUCCUCCCGUGCUCCACCCCGAGCGUGCUCGGGCUCCGCCUCCUCCUCCUCCUCCUCCACCAUCCCUUCUCUUCUCACUCUUCCUCCUAUCGCAGCUGCCUCCUCUUCUCCCUCUCUCCCUCCUCCUCGCCCCACGUGACCCCUCUCGCGCCGCUCGUCUCCACCUCAUAUCCAGAAUCUUCGCUGCCGCCAUAGACCGAGGAGGACGGCGCGAUGACGACCAUGAUGCACCGGACAUCCCAGAUCGACGACGCCAUGGAAGCCAUGAGAGCUGGCCGAGGAAAAGGGGGAAGGGCCACAUGCCAUGAAGGGCACGGCGGCUGUGGGCGGAAGCAGCAUGGGUUGAAGGAGCAGCGGAUGUGGGCGGGGUCGGAGGUUGGGGGAGACUCGUCGGCUGGGCGACAGCGAGCGCCGGUGAGUGCAAGCAUGUGUCUCCAGAAGCGUCCUCUCCUACAAGGCAGGCAAGGCCGACGUCGUCGCCCUCGCAGGUUCUACGAUCUGUUGCAUCCCUGUUCUCGUUAAGGUUAGCUGCUCUAUUUCCUAGGUACACGUGUAUUAUCGUUUAUGUGGGUGCUAUCAUGGUGCUUGGUCUGCUGAUCAUUUUAAUGUUCUGGAUCUGGGGUGUGGCUGCAUGAGAGGGGAGGCGGCCAAUGACAGGGAGAAGGAUCAGGCCGUCGAGGAGUGCAAGCAGAAGAAUAAAUAGCACGGAGAACAUAUCAGUGCUCUAUGUGUGUCUAAGGGAUCCAAGAGAUGCAGCCAUAGACAGUGACUGGUCCCUGAAGUUUGGGACGUUAAAGAUAAAAGCAAGCAGUUUUCAGAAACUUUUAGUUGUGGCUCAUGGGUUGGAGCAACUGGGAAACCAUUGACAAAUGCGGUCUCAGUUGGAGUUGGUGGUAGCUUCCUUGGACCUCUGUUUGUGCAUGCAGCUCUCCAGAUUGACCCGAAAGCAGCAGAGUCUGCCAAAAGCUGGCAACUGAGAUUGUAAGCGUGUACUUAGGGUAUGCUUCUAUAUUUCUUUUGCUGACACCUAUUACAUGUUCUUCUCGCACUUCCUAUGGAUGAUCAAAAAUAUUAAAUGUGAGUGAGUAGAGGCUUCCUUUUUGUCUUUCUGCACCAUUCAUGCAACCCUAACCAGGAAUUCUUUCAUUAUUGGAGUCUUUCAUUGUAUAUAUAACUAUUUAUUGAUGCAAGGUGGGAGAAGGAGGUGGCUAGCCUUUAUUGUGUUUUGGUGCGGUGCUCUCCUAUUUAAUGGUAGAUAUGAUGUAUAGGUUCAAGCAUGUGAUGUUUCUUUCAGUGCAUAUUUGUGCUUUAUGAUGUUUGAUGCACACAUAGUUGAACCUCUUACUCCAUGUAAUACUUUGCCAAAGAAGAAUUUAUUAAUGUUGGUGUUUUUUCUCUUUUCAGAUUUUAGCCUGGGUGCAUAAACAUACAUGCCACACAUUAUGUUCAAAUUUCAGUGCAAGGUUAAACUGGGGAUAAAUCAUUAUGGAAGGGAAAUGAAUGAAUAACAAACUAUAUAGAUUUAUUAUCAUAUCAUUUAUUUUUGAUUGCAUGAUCUUAAUUGCUCAUCUCUGGAAAUAUUUUAGGCUCUUGCUCUUGGAAGAUUAGACUGAGGUGGUGUUGCUUUAUGAAUAAAUGGCGUGCUAACUUACUGGUUUGAUUUAGGUGUGUAGGCAGAGGAAACAAAAGAAUGAUAAUCCCAGGUUUAGGCAUGCACAUGGUCACUGAUCACAAAGUAGGUAGGAACAUGUGCAGUAUUGUGAUUUUCAGCAAGAGAAAGAGAAACAUAGUUAAUUGUAUGGAUUUUAAGCUACACUAUGCGAUGUUGCUCUAUUAUAAAGGCCUUGCUUAACUGCUUGGUUUGCAACAUGUAUUGCAUUUCCAGGGAUUAUCCUUUUGCUUAUUUAGUAUUUCCUAUGUUCUCUGAAGAUUAAUUUUGGCCCAUACAGUUUCUGGUGACUGGAAGUCUGAAACUGAAGACAGGGCAUAUUGUUUUGGUUAUGAGUGGUCGGAGAUAUUGUGGCUUGAUGUCCCUAGAGCAGUCAUACCCUUCCAAGAUAGGUGAGCCUGAUUUCUUCUGCAAUUCUUCCACCACAGUACAUGAAAAGGAAUAUGUUCUACCUAUUGGCACCAUUUCUUGUGGAGGAUUGGUGCUUCCCCUUUAUUUUGUCACACUUGGGUGUCCUUGAGUUCAGAAUAGAUUCACCUUUGUUCUGAUUCUGCGCACACGUCGAGCGACGGCAAGCACAUCAGACGGCAACACACGAAGGUGAUGUGAAGGCUAGCUACUGUGAUCAAGGAAAUAACAUGUAUCUGUGUGGUUUGUUCCUGCUAUUGAUCGGCCAUUGCUCGUUUAAGUAAAAAAGUUCUUCGCUUUGGGGUUUUGGAAUAAUCUUCAGGAAGUUGGUGACGAGUUAGUAGAACUUAUGGAAAUGUCGAUACUGUAGCUCAAAGUGCCACAAGUGAUAAUUGCUACAUCUAUUAUGUUCUGUCACCGUUUUUACCUUCGUCAAUCUCAUGCAAAAAAUGAUAGACGAACAAUCGCUACUGUUUGCAUGUUCUUGGCUGGAAAAGUCGAAGAAACACCCAGGCCUUUGAAGGAUGUCAUCCUGGUUUCUUAUGAGCUUAUUCAUAAAAAGGAUCCUGCUGCUGGUCAGAAAAUCAAGCAGAGGGUAAUGUAAUGGAUCCAAUUGGAUGCUUCUUUUGCUAUGGAUUGUUCUUUGGUGAACCUUUUUCCCUUUACAAAAGUUGUAGCAUGUCCAUGACCUAAUUUCACCCUAUAAAUCUUGUUGUUCUCAUACAAUAACAGAAAAUAACUUCAGAAAUAUAGCCAAUAGAAGGCUGGCUAUUUCUAUCAGAAUCCUAACCUUUUCUCAUCAGUAUAUCAUUUAUUUUGGAAUUGUUUUGAUUGCAUCAUCAUCUGCUGAAAAGUUUACGAGACUGAUAAUGAUCUAGAAUAAAACUAUAUUCUAACCUACGAGGAGGCUGGGCACGUCUUCUAACCCGCAACAGACUGUAUAGGCAGCGGGAGCGCCGGUCCAGACCAUGGACGCAGCUUGGUCGAGCUAUAACGAGUGCAUCUAAUUCCAACUCAUCAAGAAGGUGUUGGUCAGGAGCUGAUUGCCGGGACUGAUGACAAGAAUGGAGAGCAGGAUGAGUAUGUCAACAUGCUGUUCCUUGACGUUGGCCUUCUUUUAUAAAGUUCACAUGCAACUCUCCUCCAUGGUUAGAAAAAAACUAAUUUAAACAUUUUGUUUCUUUGAUGGUUACUCAUUUCUCUUACCGUUGUUGUAUCAAAACAAUUGUAUUUGUUGAUGGCCACUUGGGCUCAUUUUCGAGGAGAAUGAGAUGUGGAAUAAACUACUCUGAAAUGGUUGGUUCCCUUCAGACAGUUUAUUAGCUAACUAAUUUUGGCUGUUGUUGCA